rnacentral:rRNA from 1 species
ACUCCUACGGGAGGCAGCAGUGAGGAAUAUUGGUCAAUGGGCGAAAGUCUGAACCAGCCAUCCCGCGUGUGGGAUGAAGGCUUAUGGGUUGUAAACUGCUGUUGUAUGGGAAUAAACCCCCCUACGUGUAGAGCAUUGAAGGUAGUGUAAGAAUAAGCAUCGGCUAAUUUCGUGCCAGCAGCCGCGGUAAUACGGAGGAUGCAAGCGUUAUCCGGAAUUAUUGGGUUUAAAGGGUGCGCAGGCGGAAAAGUCAGUCAGUGGUGAAAUCCUGCGGCUCAACCGUUGAACUGCCAUUGAUACUGUAGGUCUUGAGUUUGGUUGAGGUGGGCGGAACGUAUAGUGUAGCGGUGAAAUGCUUAGAUAUGAUACAGAACACCAAUAGCGAAGGCAGCUCACUAAGCUAUAACUGACGCUGAGGCACGAAAGCGUGGGGAGCAAACAGGAUUAGAUACCCUGGUAGUCCACGCCGUAAACGAUGAUCACUCGCUGUUGGCGAUACACAGUAAGCGGCUAAGCGAAAGCAUUAAGUGAUCCACCUGGGGAGUACGGUCGCAAGGUUUAAACUCAAAGGAAUUGACGG